ACCAGACCCAGUGUAGGCGAGGAGGCCGGGAGGAAAUGAAACACCAGACCCAGUGCAGGCGAGGAGCCCGGGAGGAACUGAAACACCAGACGCAGUGCAGUCCAUUAAGGCUGCUACAGCAGAAUCACACAGCCUGGGUGGAUUCUAAACCACAGAGACCUGUCUCACAGCUCCGGAGGCUGGAAGUCUGAGACCAAGGUGCUUGCCGAUGCGGUGUCUGCAGGGCCCUCUUCCCUUCCAGAAGACACCAUCUGGCUGUGUCUUCACCUGGGGAAAGGGGCAGGGCAGCUCUCAGGGCCUCUUCUAUGGGAGAACUCAUCCUAUUCAGGAGGGUUUCACCCUCAUGCCUUCCCAAAGACCAACUGAUUUCAGUUUUCCCAAAUGAUUUCAACGUUUCAGAUUUGAGGGGACAGACAUUCAGUCUACUGCACCUUGCAUUUGGGGACUCUGUGUCCAUAAAGACUCCAAAUUGUCCAAACUGAAUUUAACAAUCAGGUAAUGAUCAUCAGAAUAACUCCAGCUAGUUCUGACCCUGAAGGGAAGAGAUAUUAUUUGUUCAAAGUCACAUUUCUUUACUCUCCUUUCCUAACGUAAUCUACUAUUUAAACAGAAUUAUAACAUUACAUAUUAAGUCUAUCCUAGUGGGAGGAUAAUGACACUUAUUGAGGUGUGGCCAUUACAUUUUAAAAUACUUAUCACUUUAUAAGCUUACAUUGAAAAGACAAGUAAGUAUUUUUUUUCAGGUGUACUGAUGAAUUAAAAAACAGUGACAAAAAGCAAAUAUCUGCUGUGCAUCAACCAUGGGACAUUGUUUUAGGGCCCUAGAGAGGAUGGGGGUGCAAACAGGAUCAGGGCAUCAUCCUGACCAGGCAAAGAGCUCAGCAUCAAUGGGGCAAAUAUCUAUCUACAAGAGUUCUUGCGAUCUACGGAAAAUGGCAGUAAGGAUGUGAUUAGCAAAACCAAAGUACCAAGGAAGAAGAAUAAAGGGAGGAACUCAGUAUAAGCAGAUACGCCACAUGGAGAAUGAGCCAUCUGACCUGACAUUUCAGGAGGUGACAUCACCAGGUGGAAAAGAAAGAUGUAUGUCCCUAGAUGCAAAAGCUCGAGAGAGCCUUGCUGGUGACUAAGACCCUGGGUGCCGAGGCUUGAGAAGAGCAGUGUCUGGAUCUGGUCUGAGAAUUGCAAACAGUGUGCUGUGGCCUACAGAUGAGGUCCCGAAGCUUUGAUCUCUGUGAAUUCCUUUUUAUCCCAUUCUACUUGGAACAACAAUACAAUAUCAAUCUUCCUCCGCUGCCCCUGGGUGUGCUUCUCCCAGCCAACAACCUUCCAGAGAUUGCCACCAAUUACAGGAAAAAAAUCCGUACUACUCCAGCAGGAAUUUAAAGCCUCCUUCUUUCUCUGUCCCCCACCUCUGUGGUCUGCCUUCCACUCCUCUCCAGUAGAGGUGUGCUGGAUCCACACACGCCUCCCUUAUGCCUAUUACAACAUUGCUCCUGCCGGGAAACGUUUCCCAAAUUCAACCCCAUUAAAGGGAGGAGAGGCAGGAGGCUGAGGACUCUACAUUUAUCCAACAAAGAGAAAAUGGAUCUCUUAAUUAGACAGUGGCAGUUGGCAAGGAUUGGCACCUGUUUAUUUUUGACCAAGAAGAAUCAAUCAUAGGCUCUAGAGCAGCAGGAGACUUCUGAGGUGAUCUCAUUGAGGGACUAUGUGGCAUUUGAAUCUUCCUUAUAAAAGAGUAAAGAGAACACUGCUCUACUAUAAUUUUAACCCCCUUUGAGGGAAUUUGUU
rnacentral:lncRNA from 1 species